rnacentral:lncRNA from 1 species
AUAUGAUUUGAUAUAGCACUAUAAUAUAUCAAAACAAACAAGCUAAGCAUUCUGCCAUAAAAAUCAUCUUGAUCAGAACUCAGGUAAACUAGUAAAUGCCACCAGAAAACUCUGGUUUUAGAGUGAGAGAUUCGGAGCAAAUGAGUCUGGUUAAAUCCGAACUCGAACUCGAACUCGGCCACCGUUUACAAAUUCGGCCACGUCACCGACAAUGAAGGGCAUUGAUUGGAUUCUCAGAUGACAUCAAACAUCCCUAUGCCACCAUCGCUGUCGAAAAGUGGCCAGAAGCCGUCACACGAACCUGCGAAAAGCCAUGGCUAAAGCCGGCUUAAAUUAGUGUGAUUUCACCGGAUUUUGGUCAACUGUCAACUAUGAUUUGUUCCUCACAUCGUCCUCCUCAAAACACGACUAUCAACAGUCACCAGAAGCUGCCGUUUACCGCCGACCAAGCCGCCAAGCCCGAUCCGCCGCCAUUACUGCAUGUUAGAGCUCAUCAUCGCCAUCAUUACAUUUAACGCAAUUUAUUUCUAUCUUGGCCUUCACGUCCACCACCAAUUGUUUCUCGGUCACCAUUGUUUGAUGAGGGCAUUUUGGUAAUUUUAUACUUUAAGGGUAUUUUGGUAAUUUUAAUUUCGAGGUAAACAUUUUUUAGAUCCUUAAAGAUUAUUUAAAUUAUGAUACAACUCAUAUGUAUUUAAUUUUAUUCGUAAUAAUUG